UCUUUCCAGGAUUAUUCCUGAGUCUUCAUAGGUGUAAAUCAUGAAUUCCUGCAAAAAUAAGGACCCAAUCCAGAAGUCCUGCAAAAAUAAAGGCCAGAACCCUUUAUAGAGCUUAAGAGUUUAAUAAUUUAGAAAUUAAAAAAAAAAAAAAUAUUUAGAAGGCUGAUACAAAAAGGUAGACAAACUGAAGAAAAAUAAAUGGGGAGUGUGUCCAUGGGACACAGAUGAUGUCCCGGCUUGCUUAUAACGUUAUAAAGGGACUAACUCAAGAACUGUAAAA